AGGCUGUGUGACACUUUCCAGAAAGGAACACACUUGAACACAGACAAGGGAGCUUGCCCGUACUAAGGAAGUAUUGCUAUUAGUAAUAUCAAAAGGAUUGAAUGUUACAGAGGUAGCUCAUGACAAUUCACCGCCUGUAACAUCAUAUAUUGUUGAAGAGUUAAAGCUAAAAAAACUCAUGGCAUGGACUAAGAAUGUAGCGAAAGCAAUGACGUCUGUAGAAACAAGAGCAAAGAAAAGGGCAGGUAUAACUUGGUAUCCAGAACUGUCAGGUAAGAGUAAGGGACAAUGGAAAAUGAUAUGAUUACAUGUAUCAUAAGAAAGAGUACAAAGACACAUCUGUACUACAGUAUGAAUAACUGUAGUAAGUCUCCAGAGAAUCUGCAACACUCAGUACCAAAUAUUGUUGAUCAUUAUCAAGUCCUCCAGCUGUAGACAUCCUGGGUAUGCACCAUCAAAGAAGCUAAUAAUUGACCACAAUGCAGUCGAAGCAUACACUAUGAAGUUAAAGCAAACCUUGAUAUAUGUAAAUGCUGAAUCAUACUUACUGUUUGUGGCUGGAUACAUUUUGGGUGGAGUCUUUCAAGCAUCAUCUACUCACUUAUCUCCCUAAAAGGAUUCAUUUUGGUACUACAACCUUCAGAAUGACAAUCAAUAUAGCAGUUAUGGACUGGGUAAGACUGGUAUAUACUAAUACUGUUCUAAAAGUGACAUUCGUGUAACAAAAAUGUCAAAAGACCACAUACAAUUGAGCGACAUAUCUUUGACAUUGGAAGACCAGAUGGGCAUACACUAUUCAAGACGUUAGUUGAGAAGACUUUGCUCAUAAUGUGUGGAAGGUAUAUUUGCAGAAAAAUCAAGUAGACAUAAGGCCUAAUGAAACAGUUGAUGAAGUGUCAAUUUGUAAGGUUCUUGAUGAUGAUGAUGAAGACAUUUUUCUGAAUGGCGAUGGGUAGAUGAGUUAGAUGAUGAACAGGAAGGCCAUUGAAGUAUACUUGCAACUGUUAUUGAUGUCAUUGUUUCUUGCUACAUUUUGUAAAUUUUGAAGUGUUGAGGUGAUUGUUGUGAGCCCACAAGUUAUACAGGCUUGGACGUAUUUAAGAAAAGGAAUUACAUGAUGGCUGGAAGUCUGGGUACAGGAUGCCUGGUGGAUUAGGGUAGCACCUUCUCAGUUCCUAUUACACAUAAUCAGUUAUUAGUCAGACUUAUAUUAUUAUAUGACUCACAGUAACAAUGCAAACGGGCAUUACCUCCCUCUUGUCAUCAUCACUGGAGGUGAAGGCUUGCUUCAGUGCCACAUACUGAGGCUCCUUCCAUAUUUUGAGCCUCACAAGGAGUGACCAAACUUCUGGUAUAGGGAGUACCUUUUAGUGGCAUUGGAGAGACAGGGGCCAGCACUGCCCCUGAGCCAUGAUGGUGGUUUUUCAAUGAAACGUAGCAUUACAAACUUGGCAGUGCGGAAACGUGGCAGUGUGGACAUGCAUUGUCCCCGCCAAGUACUGGAGGCUCGUCACCAUCCCCUUAUCCAUUCAGCCCUAUUA